AAUGAAGAGAUGGGAAAAUAGACUUUGCUUCUUGGUGGAAGCAGUGGCGGUUGUGGCCGAGCAGAGAUUUUCAUCACGGACUGGAAGAAUUUAUCCGUGCCUGAGUGGCGGCUCUCCUAAUGGACCAUGGCCCUCUUGUGCGGUUCUCCUAUCUCUGAAAUGCAGGAUCCCCUGCUGUUUGUAUUUUACCUCAGUGAGUGCAUUCU